ACAGGUGUCGGCUAAAAACAGCUACUGUUAGCACAGGUGCCAUCCAAAAAGAAAGAGAACCACAUAACAUAUGAUUAAACAAUGGCAGACUCUGGUGUGCUAGGGGACUGUUAUCGCCUGGACCGAUCCCCUGCUGAGCUGUGGGACUACAAUAUUCCCGCCCUUCUUCCUCACCUCCUCCAUCCCCUCUACCCAUCCAGCAGACGGAAGAAAGAAGGGGAGGAGGGACGAACUCUUUGUGAAUAAUUUAUUCCACUUUUGUGCAUGAAGGCUAGUGUGUAGCCAGGCAGAAAGAGGACAACCAAGUCCAGGCAGUACCAGCUUCUACUAACCAUUCAAAACAGAAUGACCCGCGCUAGAUGGCCACAAGGUAGUUACUUUUUUUGCCUUGCACAUAAACGGCAGAUCCAAGCAUCAGUUCAUAGACCUACCGAACAGCAGUUUCACCAGAAAGUUGGAAUGUGAGCGUCUGGAGAAAAGCAUUCACAGAACUCUAUUUGAUGUCAGAGAAGAGGGAACAGAUAUCUGGUGAGGUAAAUGACUGAUCUUUGGGCUCGCUCGCCGCCUCAGCAAGAUUUCAGAAGCAUGGAGCUGAGGAGCAGAGCUACACGGAUUCAAAGCUCCAGAUGGCAAUACCAACCGCCUAGAUCAUAGCUGUUUGAUGUCAGGCAUAUAUUCAAUAAUGGAACUUUAGUAGAAACAAAACUGAAUGCUUGAGUUUUGAGGCAUUACCGUUAUGAGCACGGCCUUGGGGCUGCAUUUUGUGAGUCAUGAAUUACAGGUACCAAGAAUGUAAUUUUAAAACAUUAUUCUUCCUGAUCUUUCCACUAGCGCCACAUCAGUCUUCUCCAUGCCGAAAGAGCUGGAGAAAUAGAGUGGAUAGAUUAAUCUAGAAUAAUCAGAAAAUAAGGAACACAUCCUGUUACCAUCAGUCUAAAGGGCUAUUGACUAAGGUCUCAUUGAUUUUAUG